rnacentral:rRNA from 1 species
UACGUAGGGGGCAAGCGUUGUCCGGAUUUAUUGGGCGUAAAGAGCGUGUAGGCGGCCAGGUAGGUCUGCUGUGAAAACUCGAGGCUUAACCUCGAGCUGUCGGCGGAAACCAUCUGGCUAGAGUCCGGAAGAGGAGAAUGGAAUUCCCGGUGUAGCGGUGAAAUGCGCAGAUAUCGAGAGGAACACCAGUGGCGAAGGCGAGUCCCUGGACAACACCUGACACUGAGGCACGAAAGCUAGGGGAGCAAACAGG